GAAAGAGUGACCCUGGUUGGGCAGCCCUAUGGCCCUGUGGAGCUGAGAUGCCAGCUUUAGAUGGGGGGACUUACAACACGGGCUUUCCCUUCCCCAGUGGAACAGAAGGCGCCGGCGAGAGGCCCUCCUUGUCAGCACCAGGGACAGAUUGCUCAAGAAUCUGUGUGCUCCAAGGCACAAGAGGGGUGCUGUCUCCUUUCCUGGAGUUCCGUCUCAUGCCUACGUUUCAGCCAAGCACCAAAGGCGAUGCUGGCAAGCGGGAGACGGUCCACAGCCACUCACCGGCAGCCAGAAGCCAGGCUCAGGACAGCGAGGCCUCAGCUUACACAGAGGCCACCAAAGAAUGGCCCGGCAGGACAGGACGCCAAACCUCAUUUAUCUGAGCAGUGCAAGGCCGCCUGGUCAGUGUCCACUCCACACCCAGGCCCUCCUCUCUUUGCUGUGGCCACAGCAGAUGUGCCAGCUGCCCCAUUGCUGCACAACGCCAAGCCUCCAUCCAACUCGUCCUGAACACCCUUCCCCCGUGUCCUUCCUAUCUCCGUGAACAUGGCAGUCAGAAAUCCAAUGCCUGGUGUCACGACUUCCCAGCUGUAGAUCUUGGGCGAGUUGCAUCCCUUCUCUCUGCCUCAGUUUCCUCCUUUGUAGCAUGGGGAUAAGACCUUCUUUACAGGGUUUAACAGCCAGGAAUCAGGUGUGCAAAAGCGGAGGCAUGGUUCAUCACAGGGGCCUGCUGUGGCGGCUGUCCUCCUCCUAAUAGCCACAUUCCCCGGACCCAGCCUGGAGGAGUGUGCCAUCCCCCGGUUUGCUCUCCCUCUUCCCGUCUCGGUGAUCCAGGCCAUAAAAAAUGGCUCCUCCCAGAUGCCAUAAGAUAGAAGCUGCAUUGCCCUCGUGGCAGGAAGGGGACAUUUGGGCUACUUCAAACCAAACCAAACAAAAAACUCACUGUCAUCAAUUCUUGCCUUCUAAAGGGAGGGGCACAUUUCAUCUUGGGGAUGCUGGCCUGGGGAUUCCACUUAGCCAAGAGCAGAGGAAACAUCAUUUCCAAGCACCAGCUAGUGCUCUGUGCUGCUAAAAGUCCCAGAGUAUCCUGUCCUGGCUCAGUUGAGCCCCUUACUGAGCUCAGGACUCUUUUGGCUGCCAAUGACAGAAAUUCAACCUGA
rnacentral:lncRNA from 1 species